GAUGAACGCUAGCUACAGGCUUAACACAUGCAAGUCGAGGGGUAGCAGGGUAGCAAUACCGCUGACGACCGGCGCACGGGUGAGUAACACGUAUCCAACCUACCAUUCACACGGGGAUAGCCUUUCGAAAGAAAGAUUAAUACCCGAUAGUAUAGCGAGAGGGCAUCCUUUUGCUAUUAAAGAAUUUCGGUGUUUGAUGGGGAUGCGUUCCAUUAGAUUGUUGGUGAGGUAACGGCUCACCAAGUCUUCGAUGGAUAGGGGUUCUGAGAGGAAGGUCCCCCACAUUGGAACUGAGACACGGUCCAAACUCCUACGGGAGGCAGCAGUGAGGGAUAUUGGUCAAUGGACGAGAGUAUGAACCAGCCAAGUUGCGUGAAGGAUGAAGACCCUAUGGGUCGUAAACUUCUUUUAUAGGGGAAUAAAGUGCGGAACGUGUUCCGCUUUGUAUGUACCCUACGAAUAAGGAUCGGCUAACUCCGUGCCAGCCGCCGCGGUAA
rnacentral:rRNA from 1 species